AGUUUGAUUCUGGCUCAGAUUGAACGCUAUGAUGUUUACGCAAGUCGAACGGCAGCACGGACUUCGGUCUGGUGGCGAGUGGCGAACGGGUGAGUAAUGAUUGUGGAACGUGCCUAGUAGCGGGGGGAUAACUACGCGAAAGCGUAGCUAAUACGCGCAUACGCCCUUCGGGGAAAGCGGGGGACCUUCGGGCUCGUAAUAUUAGGAGCGGCCGAUAUCGGAUUAGCUAGUUGCGGGGUGACGUUCACCAAGGCGACGAUCCGUAUUGUUUGAGGACGACCAGCCACACUGGGACUGAGACAUCGGCCCAGAUCCCUACGGGAGGCAGCAGUGGGGAAUUUGACAAUGGGGAAACCCUGAUCCAGCCAUCCCGCGUGCGAUGAAGGCCUUCGGGUUGUAAAAAGCACUUUUGGCAGGAAAGAAACGGCACGGAUAAUACCCUGCGCAACUGACGGUACCUGCAGAAUAAGCACCGGCUAACUACGCGCCAGCAGCCGCGGUAAUACGUAGGGUGCAAGCGUUAAUCGGAAUUAUCAAGGUAAAGCGUGCGCAGGCGGUUCGGAAAGAAAGAUGUGAAAACUCAGGAGCUUAACUUUGGAACUGCAUUUUUAACUACCGAGCUGUAGAGGUCAGAGGAGGUGGAAUUCGCGUGUAGCAGUGAAAUGCGUAGAUAGCGCGGAGGAACACCGAUGCGAAGGCAGCCUCCUGGGAUAACACUGACGCUCAUGCACGAAAGCGUGGGGAGCAAACAGGAUUAGAUACCCCGGUAGUCCACGCCCUAAACGAUGUCAGUCAGCUGCUGGGGCCUUCGGCCCGGUAGCGCAGCCGAAUGGCGGCGAAGUUGACCGCUCGGGGAGUACGGUCGCAAGAUUAAACAAAGGAAUUGACGGGGACCCGCACAAGCGGUGGAUGAUGUGGAUUAAUUCGAUGCAACGAAAACCUUACCUACCCUCUUGACAUGUCUGGAAUCCCGAAGAGAUUUGGGAGUGCUCGCAAGAGAACCGGAACACAGGUGCUGCAUGGCUGUCGUCAGCUCGUGUCGUGAGAUGUUGGGUUAAGCCCCACAACGAGCGGCAACCUUGUCAUUAGUUGGCGCGAAAGGGCAAUUUAAUGAGACUGCCGGUGACAAACCGAGGAAGGUGGGGAUGACGUCAAGUCCUCAUGGCCCUAUGGGUAGGGCUUCACACGUCAUACAAUGGUCGACAGAGGGUCGCCAACCUGAGGGGAGCCAAUCCCGGUAGAAACCGAUCGUAGUCCGGAUCGCAGUCUGCAACUCGACUGCGUGAAGUCGGAAUCGCUAGUAAUCGCGGAUCAGCAUGUCGCAGUGAAUACGUUCCCGGGUCUUGUACACACCGCCCGUCACACCAUGGGAGUGGGUUUUACCAGAAGAAAGUUAGCCUAACCGCGAGGGCGAUUACCACGGUGGUAGGAUUCAUGAUCGGGGUGAAGUCGUAACAAGGUAGC
rnacentral:rRNA from 1 species